rnacentral:rRNA from 1 species
GACGAACGCUGGCGGCGUGCUUAACACAUGCAAGUCGAACGGAAAGGCCCCUUCGGGGGUGCUCGAGUGGCGAACGGGUGAGUAACACGUGGGUGAUCUGCCCUGCACUUCGGGAUAAGCUUGGGAAACUGGGUCUAAUACCGGAUAUACCUCAUGGGAUGCAUGUUUUGUGGGGGAAAGCUUUUGCGGUGUGGGAUGGGCCCGCGGCCUAUCAGCUUGUUGGUGGGGUGAUGGCCUACCAAGGCAUCGACGGGUAGCCGGCCUGAGAGGGUGUCCGGCCACACUGGGACUGAGAUACGGCCCAGACUCCUACGGGAGGCAGCAGUGGGGAAUAUUGCACAAUGGGCGCAAGCCUGAUGCAGCGACGCCGCGUGGGGAUGACGGCCU